ACGGGAGGCAGCAGUGGGGAAUAUUGCACAAUGGGGGAAACCCUGAUGCAGCAACGCCGCGUGAGCGAUGAAGGCCUUUGGGUCGUAAAGCUCUGUCCUUGGGGAAGAAGAUCUGACGGUACCCUUGGAGGAAGCCCCGGCUAACUACGUGCCAGCAGCCGCGGUAAUACGUAGGGGGCAAGCGUUAUCCGGAAUUAUUGGGCGUAAAGGGUGCGUAGGCGGCGAUUUAAGCGCAGGGUUUAAGGCUACAGCUUAACUGUAGUUCGCCUUGCGAACUGGAUUGCUUGAGUGCAGGAGAGGAAAGCGGAAUUCCUAGUGUAGCGGUGAAAUGCGUAGAUAUUAGGAGGAACACCAGUGGCGAAGGCGGCUUUCUGGACUGUAACUGACGCUGAGGCACGAAAGCGUGGGGAGCAAACAGGAUUAGAUACCCUGGUA
rnacentral:rRNA from 1 species